UGUAAGCGUAUACCAAAGUUGUUGCAGUUAAAACGCUCGUAGUCGGAACUUGGCCGUUCCGGAUGUGUGCACGUCGUGUGCGCACUUCGCAGGGACGGCUUUUGUGGUCUUGCGUAGGAUGAGGCACUUUUAUUAGUGAACGUCCUCACGCAACCACUCUUUACUGUGAGAAAAUCAGAGUGCUCAAAGCAGGCAUUUGCCGUGAAUGUAUUAGCAUGGAAUAAUAGAAUAGGACUCGGUUCUAUUUUGUUGGUUUGUCGGGACUGAGUAAUGAUUAAGAGGGACAGUUGGGGGCAUUUGUAUUUCGGCGCUAGAGGUGAAAUUCUUAGAUUGCCGAAAGACAAACUGCUGCGAGAGCGUCUGCCAAGGAUGUUUUCAUUGA
rnacentral:rRNA from 1 species